rnacentral:rRNA from 1 species
GUGUAGCAAUACACCGCCGGCGACCGGCGCACGGGCGAUUAACGCGUAUGCAACUUGCCUAUCAGAGGGGGAUAACCCGGCGAAAGUCGGACUAAUACCGCAUGAAGCAGGGGCCCCGCAUGGGGAUAUUUGCUAAAGAUUCAUCGCUGAUAGAUAGGCAUGCGUUCCAUUAGGCAGUUGGCGGGGUAACGGCCCACCAAACCGACGAUGGAUAGGGGUUCUGAGAGGAAGGUCCCCCACAUUGGUACUGAGACACGGACCAAACUCCUACGGGAGGCAGCAGUGAGGAAUAUUGGUCAAUGGGCGCGAGCCUGAACCAGCCAAGUCGCGUGAGGGAUGAAGGUUCUAUGGAUCGUAAACCUCUUUUAUAAGGGAAUAAAGUGCGGGACGUGUCCUGUUUUGUAUGUACCUUAUGAAUAAGGAUCGGCUAACUCCGUGCCAGCAGCCGCGGUAAUACGGAGGAUCCGAGCGUUAUCCGGAUUUAUUGGGUUUAAAGGGUGCGUAGGCGGCCUUUUAAGUCAGCGGUGAAAGUCUGUGGCUCAACCAUAGAAUUGCCGUUGAAACUGGGGGGCUUGAGUAUGUUUGAGGCAGGCAGAAUGCGUGGUGUAGCGGUGAAAUGCUUAGAUAUCACGCAGAACCCCGAUUGCGAAGGCAGCCUGCCAAGCCAUGACUGACGCUGAUGCACGAAAGCGUGGGGAUCAAACAGGAUUAGAUACCCUGGUAGUCCACGCAGUAAACGAUGAUCACUAGCUGUUUGCGAUACAGUGU